UGGCCAGGCAAUCGCCGUUUAGUUUUCACUUGUGAAUUUCUAAAGGGAGGAAAGUCCGGGCUCCAUAGGGCAGGGUGCCAGGUAAUGCCUGGGCGGCGCGAGCCGACGACAAGUGCAGCAGAGAGAAGACCGCCUAAGCGCGCAAGCGCCGGUAAGGGUGAAAGGGUGCGGUAAGAGCGCACCGCGUUGCUGGCAACAGUAUACGGCAAGGUAAACUCCACCCGGAGCAAGACCAAAUAGGAUCUCGUAUGGCGUGGCCCACGUUGAGAUCGGGUGUGUUG
rnacentral:ribozyme from 1 species